UAUCAUCCCCAUUAGCAGCUUCCAUCGGCAGAGACCUCCUUCUCUUUUUAGGUGAGUUACUCUGUCACUCAUCUGGAUCACAAAGGCCCAAAGAUGCACCACCUUCCUUCCAUACAUGCAGCUGGGAUGUCAG